UGUUUGGUCAACAAGCCCAACAGCAAGGCUACAGCCUUUGUGCAUCAUUCGCAGAUUAGCUCCCAAACCCAGCUGUGAAAUGUUUCCAUUGUCUGCCCUUGGAAGGUAAUGAUUUCUUAAUAUUGAUGGUCCGAAAAUUAAUCUCUUUCCAAUGUCAAGAAGGUGGGGAUUUAAUGUGUCGCAUCAGUCACUAAUUAAUUCUUGACCAAACCGGCAGUUUUAAGAGGAACAACGGAAUGUAUAGAGAAUGGUUGUCAUUUAAAGGAAUCCCUUCUUGGGGGGUCAGUGAGCUUGUUUUGGGUCUAAUUCAUUCAUUACCAUUGUGAUCGAAGGAGCCAAGCCCUGUUCCCAUAGUAGGAUCAGCAGCAUUUUUAAUCACUCGGUCGAAGUUCACACUAAAACCUGAAGCGGAUGCACCAGUUGGCUGACUUGGGAACCCACCACUACUGCUGCAAUGCAGCCUCUGUAAUACCCAGUUUCCAAAAGGUUCAUAUUGUAAUCCUUGCUUUGCCUUCCCCGAUGCCAAUGUAAUUGUAAGUAGCAGAAACCGUAGGUCUCUUGAAUAUAUUUAAACCAAAGAACAGGAGAGCAGAAGCAGAACAUAUCAGCCGGUUCAGAAAAGGAGCAAAUUAUUCUUUCUUUUGCACGUUUUUAUUUUUUACACCUUCCCUCCCAACCCUCUCAUCUGCAUCUCCUCCAUCCAGCAGAUUUUUUUCAAAGCCAGCACUGAACCGGGUGAUCUUCCUCCUCCUGAAACUGCCUCGGCAAAACCUUGCUCUAUAGACGGCCCGUAGUGAGAGUUCUCUUGAGGAAGGAGGACACAAGUGAACACCUAAAUGAAUUAAACUAGUUUUAACUAGCAUGUUUAUCCUUCAGCCCCUCAUUCUCCAUCAGCCUCCAUUGCCCCCCAGUUUCAUGUCUCUAUUCCUCAGCUUCACAUAACACAGAGGGCUCUUCCACCUCUUCUUCUCAUGUUGCAAUAAUCUUGCAAUUGCCUUGCACAUAUAAUAAUAAUAAUAAUAAUAAUAAUAAUAAUAAUAAUAAUAAUAAUAAUAAUAAUAAUUUUAUUUUUGUACCCCGCCUCCAUCUCCGCGGGGGAACUCGGCGCAGCUUACAAAUACAAAAUGAAAGUACAAUAACAUCAAGUACCGAACAACACCCAAAUGAAAAUUAAAAAGACAUAAAAUAAAAUGACAACCAUUAAUAAAACACACUGAGUGCACUAAGUGAGACUUGUAAACAUGGUGGAAGUUAAUGAAAGGUUUUUAAGAACUUAAAAUUAGCUGGAGGUUUUGCUAGAUCACAGGUGGAUGAUGGGUUGGAAGGUGCUAUGCUUGUCCUUGGUUCAUAGAAUCAUAGAGUUGGAAGAAACCAUAUGGGGAGUGGAGGAUAGGCGCAUAAGUGGAUGAUGUCAUAAGUGGAUAAUGGGUUGGAAGGUGCCAUGCUUUUCCAGGCGUCAUAGACUCAUAAAGGUGGAAGAGACUAUAAGGGCCAUUCAGUGGAUGAUGGGUGCAUAAGUAGAUGAUGCCAUAGUUUGGAAGGUGCCAUACUUUUCUGGGUGCCAUAGAAUCAUAGAAUUGGAAGAGACCAUAAGGGCCAUUCAGUGGAUGAUGGGUGCAUAAGUCAAUGUUUUGCUGAGUCAGAAGGGGAUGAUGGGGUGGACGGUGCCAUACUUUUCUGGGUGCCACAGAAUCAUAGAAUUGGAAGAGAUCAUAAGAACCAUUCAGUGAGUGAUGGGUGCAUAAGUAGAUGAUGUUUGCUGGGUCAGAAGGGGAUGAUGGGGUGGACGGUGCCAUACUUUUCUGGGUGCCAUAGAAUCAUAGAAUUGGAAGAGACCAUAAGGGCCAUUCAGUGGAUGAUGGGUGCAUAAGUCAAUGUUUUGCUGAGUCAGAAGGGGAUGAUGGGGUGGACGGUGCCAUACUUUUCUGGGUGCCACAGAAUCAUAGAAUUGGAAGAGAUCAUAAGAACCAUUCAGUGAGUGAUGGGUGCAUAAGUAGAUGAUGUUUGCUGGGUCAGAAGGGGAUGAUGGGGUGGACGGUGCCAUACUUUUCUGGGUGCCAUAGAAUCAUAGAAUUGGAAGAGACCAUAAGAGCCAUUCAGUGGGUGAUGGGUGUAUAAGUCAAUGUUUUGCUGAAUCAGAAGUGGAUGAUGGGAUAGAAGGUGCCAUACUUUUCUGGGUGCCAUAGAAUCAUAGAAUUGGAAGAGACCAUAAGGGCCAUUCAGUGGAUGAUGGGUGCAUAAGUCAAUGUUUUGCUGAGUCAGAAGUGGAUGAUGGGGUGGACGGUGCCAUACUUUUCUGGGAGAGUUGGAAGAGACCAUAAGGGCCAUCCAGUGGGUGAUGGGUGCAUAAGUGGAUGAGGAAUUGGAAAAUGCCGUUCCAAUUCCCUUGCUGUGUUGAGGGAGUGCAUCACAGCUUAUCCACACACGAUGGCUUGUUCUUCAAUGUGUUUGCACUUGGGGAUGUCAUCCAAAAGCAUUUGUGGGGUCUGCCUUUUGAGUGUGCGAAAGGGGAGGAUGUUGGACUGAGGGACCUAAAAUGGAACAUGAGAUUGGAGUGAAACCUGCUGCUCUUUCUUAUGACUGGAAACCUCUCCAGGGCAGUGCCCUGGAAGACGGAGAUAAAGAGGCUCCUCCUGCUUCGGAGACGGCCAGCAAAUGCCAAUGCUUGCAAGGGAGUCCCCUGAGCAAUGCUCCCUGCUUGCCUCCAUUUGAGAGGGAUGGACUAAAUGACCUCUGAAGAGCCCUCUCAACCUUGGACAGUAAUAAGCUCAUGACUGGCAGACUCUUGCAAAAGUGCGAGUCCAGUUCCAAAAAAAAACAAACCCGUGUUCUCUUCUCACAAAUCACAAUAAACUCACGUUUGUUUGGUCACCGAUGUUUAAUUUGACUUGGGCAACCGUUGCGUCUCAUCGCCAUGUGAGGACGGUUUGGCAAAGGAAGUCCCAAACUGGCCUUGUUUUGUGGGAGCCCAGUCCACUUUCUGCCGACAACAACAACAAGAACCACAACAACCAACAGGCGACGUUCAGAAGGAACAAUUCCCUUUGUGGACCUGCAGAAAAUUUCUAUGGAUAUAGGGGAUUUUUUGGGGGUAAAAAACGAACAACAACAAAAGCAUUUUGUAAUGAUUUUUGGUUUCAUAGUAACUGUGUUACUUGCAGCUCAUUCUAGGCGGAUGUAAAUAAAUAAAUAAAUAAAACAAAUUUCCAAAAAAUGAAACAAAUAAAAAAAUGAGUUUAAAAGUUUUAAAAAGAAAGGAGACAAAUCUCUGGUUAUUUUCCUUUUUAAAGAACACUGUGAUCUAUCCAAGUGCACAGUUUGCUGUAUGAGGUGACAUUGUUUUAAAUUUUAAAUAAAAAAAUACCAUAAUUUCUCUAAAA